CAUGGAUUGCUUUCAUCUUGUUAUUUUGUUUCUGUACAAAUAAUAUUUAUCCCUCAGGACAAGAAAUCAUCCAUGUGGAAUAAAGAACCCCUUCUCAAGGUUUGAGCUUUGCUGGCUAAAGUUGGAGAUGAUGGCGGGAGUUUCAAAGGCUAUUUGAGAUAUACUCAAAAUUUAUGGUAAGUUUUCAUGAAAUUUUCAUUUUUAAUUUAAACAAUGGAUAU
rnacentral:lncRNA from 1 species